AAACUGCGAAUGGCUCAUUAAAACAGUUAUAGUUUAUUUGAUGGUCUCUCUUACAUGGAUAACCAUGGUAAUUCUAUGGCUAAUACAUGCGCAAUCGCCUCCUUCUCUGGAGGGGCUGUGUUUAUUAGAUACAAAACCAACCCACUUUGUGGAGUCCUGGUGAUUCAUAGUAACCGAACGGAUCGCAGUUGGCUUCGGCCCGCGAUGGAUCAUUCAAGUUUCUGACCUAUCAGCUUUCGACGGUAGG
rnacentral:rRNA from 1 species